ACUCCUACGGGAGGCAGCAGUGAGGAAAUUGGACAAUCCCUNGCAACUCUGAUCCAGCCAUGCCGCGUGAAGGAUGACUCCCCUAUGGGUUGUAAACUUCUUUUAUANAGAAGAAACCGUUCCACGUGUGGAACAUUGACGGUACUGUAUGUUUAAGCACCGGCUAACUCCG
rnacentral:rRNA from 1 species